rnacentral:rRNA from 1 species
UACGUAGGGUCCGAGCGUUGUCCGGAAUUACUGGGCGUAAAGCGCACGUAGGUGGCGACGUAAGUCGGGUGUGAAAGCCCCGGGCUCAACCUGGGAAUUGCAUUCGAGACUGCAUUGCUGGAGUACGGAAGAGGAGGGCGGAAUUCCCGGUGUAGCGGUGAAAUGCGUAGAUAUCGGGAGGAACAUCAGUGGCGAAGGCGGCCCUCUGGUCCAGUACUGACACUCAAGUGCGAAAGCGUGGGGAGCAAACAGG